rnacentral:rRNA from 1 species
GGCGAGUGAAGCGGCAACAGCUCAAAUUUGAAAGCUAGCCUUCGGGUUCGCAUUGUAAUUUGUAGAGGAUGAUUUGGGGAAGCCGCCUGUCUAAGUUCCUUGGAACAGGACGUCAUAGAGGGUGAGAAUCCCGUAUGUGACAGGAAAUGGCACCCUAUGUAAAUCUCCUUCGACGAGUCGAGUUGUUUGGGAAUGCAGCUCUAAAUGGGAGGUAAAUUUCUUCUAAAGCUAAAUAUUGGCGAGAGACCGAUAGCGCACAAGUAGAGUGAUCGAAAGAUGAAAAGCACUUUGGAAAGAGAGUUAAAAAGCACGUGAAAUUGUUGAAAGGGAAGCGCUUGCAAUCAGACUUGUUUAAACUGUUCGGCCGGUCUUCUGACCGGUUUACUCAGUUUGGACAGGCCAGCAUCAGUUUCGGCGGCCGGAUAAAGGCUCUGGGAAUGUGGCCUCCACUUCGGUGGAGGUGUUAUAGCCCAGGGUGUAAUACGGCCAGCCGGGACUGAGGUCCGCGCUUCGGCUAGGAUGCUGGCGUAAUGGUUGUAAGCGACCCGUCUUGAAACACG